AAGUCGUAACAAGGUUUCCGUAGGUGAACCUGCGGAAGGAUCAUUAUUGAAGUUGAUUCGGGUUGUCGCUGGCUCUUAGGAGCAUGUGCACGCUCGUUCAUAUUCUUAUUCUCUUGUGCACCUUUAGCUAGACUAUGAAUACCUCUCGAGUGAAAAUCUCGGAUUGAGGGUUGCGCUUCAGCUUCCCUUGCAUUUUCAUAGUCUAUGUCCUUCAUAUACCCCUUUGUAUGUCUCAGAAUGUUUUUUUGUGGGUCCUUUGUGACCUAUAAAAUGUCAGUACAACUUUCAACAACGGAUCUCUUGGCUCUCGCAUCGAUGAAGAACGCAGCGAAAUGCGAUAAGUAAUGUGAAUUGCAGAAUUCAGUGAAUCAUCGAAUCUUUGAACGCACCUUGCACCCUUUGGUAUUCCGAAGGGUAUGCCUGUUUGAGUGUCAUUAAAUUCUCAACCAUUGAACUUGUUUCUUUGGCUUGGAUGUGGGGGUUGCGGGCUUCGCAAGAGGUCGGCUCUCCUUAAAUGUAUUAGUGGAAACCGCUUGCAGGAUUCAUUCACUUUUGGCGUGAUAAUAUCGUCGUCAAAGGCUUAUGUCUCCGAGGUAUCUGCUCUCUAACUGUCCGCAAGGACUCUUAAUGACUUGUUUGACCUCAAAUCAGGUAGGACUACCCGCUGAACUUAAGCAUAUCAAUAAGCGGAGGAAAAGAAACUAACAAGGAUUCCCCUAGUAACUGCGAGUGAAGAGGGAAAAGCUCAAAUUUAAAAUCUGGCAGUCAUAUGGCUGUCCGAGUUGUAAUUUAGAGAAGUGCUAUCCGCGCUGGACCGUGUACAAGUCUCCUGGAAUGGAGCGUCAUAGAGGGUGAGAAUCCCGUCUUUGACACGGACUGCCAGGGCCUUGUGAUGCGCUCUCGAAGAGUCGAGUUGUUUGGGAAUGCAGCUCAAAAUGGGUGGUAAAUUCCAUCUAAAGCUAAAUAUUGGCGAGAGACCGAUAGCGAACAAGUACCGUGAGGGAAAGAUGAAAAGAACUUUGGAAAGAGAGUUAAACAGUACGUGAAAUUGUUGAAAGGGAAACGCUUGAAGUCAGUCGCGUUGGCUUGAAAUCAACCUUGCUCUUUUGCUUGGUGUACUUUCUUGUUGAUGGGUCAACAUCAGUUUUGACUGCUGGAUAAAGGUCAGGGGAAUGUGGCAUCUUCGGAUGUGUUAUAGCCCUUGUUCGCAUACAGUGGUUGGGACUGAGGAACUCAGCACGCCGCAAGGCCGGGUCUUUGACCACGUACGUGCUUAGGAUGUUGGCAUAAUGGCUUUAAUCGACC
rnacentral:rRNA from 1 species